GGCUCAGGAUGAACGCUGGCGGCAGGCUUAACACAUGCAAGUCGAGGGGCAGCAUAGGGUAACACUAGUUUGAGAGUGACGAACGCAUGAGUAAUUCAUGCGUAUGCAUCUUAGCGUGUGCGGGAGGAUAACCAGAAGAAUUUUGGACUAGUAUCCUCUAAGAUAGUAAAGCGCAUGUUUUCAUAUCUAAAGGUUAGGCGAUACGAGAAGGUCUUGUGUAACAUUAGGUAGUGGACAGGGUAAUGACGUAGCAGGUCUGUAAUGUUUAGGAGUCGUGAGAGAGUGAUACCGCGCAUGAGUCAUGAGACAGGGUCCUGAGUCAUACGGGAGUCAGCAAUGAGGAAUAUUGGUCGAUGGGCGCAUGCAUGAACCAGGCAUGAGUGAAGAAGGAAGAAGGCGCUAUGAGUUGUAUAAUUCUGAUCGAGAGGAUGAAGAAUUAUGCCGUGUAGCGGCGUGACAGUACCAAGAGAAUGAGCAUGGGAUAAAUGUGUCACCGCAGGCGGUGUAAUAUGGAGGACGCGAGCUUAUUCGAGAUUUAUGGGGUAUAAAGGGUGCGUAGGCGGAGUAAUAUGUGAGCGGAGAUAACCGGCAGCUCCAUGGGAGAAUUGUCAGUGAUAACAUUAUUAGAGAGUGUGAUCGAGGUGGGGAGAUUCUGUAAUGUCGCGGAGAAAUGUUGAGAUAUGGCGGAGAACAGAGAUUGAGAAGACAGCCUGGUGGUACCUUAGAGGCUCUGACGCGAGAGAGUGGGGAGAUAGCACAAGAUGAGAUCCCGUGGUUGUACACCCUGUAAAGAGAUGAUCAUUUGGUGGGAUCGAUACAGAGUUAGUGGCUAAGCAAAAGCAUGAAGUGAUCCACCUGGGG
rnacentral:rRNA from 1 species